GGGUUGUGAGGUUAAGCGACUAAGCGUACACGGUGGAUGCCCUGGCAGUCAGAGGCGAUGAAGGACGUGCUAAUCUGCGAAAAGCGCCGGCGAGGUGAUAUGAACCUUUGACCCGGCGAUGUCCGAAUGGGGAAACCCAGUGUGUUCCGACACACUAUCGUUAACUGAAUACAUAGGUUAACGAGGCGAACCGGGGGAACUGAAACAUCUAAGUACCCCGAGGAAAAGAAAUCAACCGAGAUUCCCCCAGUAGCGGCGAGCGAACGGGGAGCAGCCCGGAGUCUGAAUCAGCUUGUGUGUUAGUGGAACGGUCUGGAAAGUCCGACGGUACAGGGUGAUAGUCCCGUACACGAAAAUGCACAUGCUGUGAACUCGAAGAGUAGGGCGGGACACGUGGUAUCCUGUCUGAAUAUGGGGGGACCAUCCUCCAAGGCUAAAUACUCCUGACUGACCGAUAGUGAACCAGUACCGUGAGGGAAAGGCGAAAAGAACCCCGGCGAGGGGAGUGAAAAAGAACCUGAAACCGUGUACGUACAAGCAGUGGGAGCACCUUCGGGUGUGACUGCGUACCUUUUGUAUAAUGGGUCAGCGACUUAUAUUCUGUAGCAAGGUUAACCGUAUAGGGGAGCCGAAGGGAAACCGAGUCUUAACUGGGCGUUAAGUUGCAGGGUAUAGACCCGAAACCCGGUGAUCUAGCCAUGGGCAGGUUGAAGGUUGGGUAACACUAACUGGAGGACCGAACCGACUAAUGUUGAAAAAUUAGCGGAUGACCUGUGGCUGGGGGUGAAAGGCCAAUCAAACCGGGAGAUAGCUGGUUCUCCCCGAAAGCUAUUUAGGUAGCGCCUCGUGAACUCAUCUUCGGGGGUAGAGCACUGUUUCGGCUAGGGGGCCAUCCCGGCUUACCAACCCGAUGCAAACUACGAAUACCGAAGAAUGUUAUCACGGGAGACACACGGCGGGUGCUAACGUCCGUCGUGAAGAGGGAAACAACCCAGACCGCCAGCUAAGGUCCCAAAGUCAUGGUUAAGUGGGAAACGAUGUGGGAAGGCACAGACAGCCAGGAUGUUGGCUUAGAAGCAGCCAUCAUUUAAAGAAAGCGUAAUAGCUCACUGGUCGAGUCGGCCUGCGCGGAAGAUGUAACGGGGCUAAACCAUGCACCGAAGCUGCGGCAGCGAC
rnacentral:rRNA from 1 species